rnacentral:rRNA from 1 species
ACACGGUCCAAACUCCUACGGGAGGCAGCAGUGAGGAAUAUUGGUCAAUGGGCGAGAGCCUGAACCAGCCAAGUAGCGUGAAGGAUGACGGCCCUACGGGUUGUAAACUUCUUUUGUGCGGGAAUAAAGGAGCCUACGUGUAGGCUUUUGCAUGUACCGUAACGAAUAAGCAUCGGCUAACUCCGUGCCAGCAGCCGCGGUAAUACGGAGGAUGCGAGCGUUAUCCGGAUUUAUUGGGUUUAAAGGGAGCGUAGGCGGGUUUUUAAGUCAGCUGUGAAAGUUUGGGGCUCAACCUUAAAAUUGCAGUUGAUACUGGAGACCUUGAGUACGGUUGAGGCAGGCGGAAUUCGUGGUGUAGCGGUGAAAUGCUUAGAUAUCACGAAGAACCCCGAUUGCGAAGGCAGCCUGCUAAGCCGCCACUGACGUUGAGGCUCGAAAGUGCGGGUAUCAAACAGGAUUAGAUACCCUGGUAGUCCGACACGGUAAACGAUGGAUACUCGCUGUUGGCGAUAGACGGUCAGCGGCCAAGCGAAAGCGUUAAGUAUCCCACCUGGGGAGUAC